rnacentral:lncRNA from 1 species
AUAAAUGGCGGAGACUUUUCCCUAAAUGGGUUACUUGAUUUAAGAGCUGCUGGCUAAUUUUGGUCGGAUAAUUUAAUAGAAGAGGGAAGAGGAAAGGAAAGAAAGGGGCUUGAAGAAAGAGGAAGAGAAAAGAAACACAAGGAUGGAGAACAAGGAGAGACCAUUUGUUCUCAAACAGUAGCUGCCACUUCUAGCUGGGAGAGAAAUGAGAGCUCUGCUCAUGGUGAUCCAGUAUCUCCAGAAUCCAUCACCACUGCUGACCUCCCACUCCAUGUCUCCAAGUGCUCUGCUAUACCUGCCACCAGCAGCUGCCACCUCCAGACUUUGGAAGGUUAUAAUAAAACCUCUGUUCUACGAUCUGCCUUCUGCUUCAACAUCCUCACUCCCCACAAACAAUUCUAAUAAACAGCAAUUAAUCUGAAA